CAGGUGCUUCAUGAAGUAAUACAUCCGAGACUGACUGUGCUUGGUUGUGUGAAUAGCCCACAGGACGCACAGAUUGCCUGUCAGCGCGAGAAGCAGCACAAGGACCAGAACGGGAUUUUGGAGCACCACUGUCCUCAUCACUCGCUGCCUCCAGUUUGAUGUCUGAUCUACCGAAGCUCUGCUUGCUACCAGUCAGUAACCCCCUCCCCUCGUUUCAUUUUCCUUCGAAGGAAACUGCUUACUUGGAAGCCUGACAGUGGGCCCUGCGACAGCUUGGCAACCUGUCCAGGGUGGACCAUGCCUCUCGUCCUGUGGCAACUGGGAUGAGCUCCUUCCCCCUGGUGACCCUGAAUUUAGAAAAUUGAUGGAUGGAUGAUCUUACAGUGGCCGACUGCAUCAAACCAGAUAUGUGAAUAAAAAUAAACCAAUGUGUGAUUUUAGAUAAAACAUUCAUA